UACGGAGGGUGCAAGCGUUGUCCGGAAUCAUUGGGCGUAAAGAGUUCGUAGGUGGUAUGUUAAGUCUGGUGUUAAAGCCCGAAGCUCAACUUCGGUUCGGCACUGGAUACUGGCAAACUUGAAUGUGGUAGAGGUAAAGGGAAUUCCUGGUGUAGCGGUGAAAUGCGUAGAUAUCAGGAGGAACAUCGGUGGCGUAAGCGCUUUACUGGGCCAUUAUUGACACUGAGGAACGAAAGCCGGGGGAGCAAAUGGG
rnacentral:rRNA from 1 species